rnacentral:rRNA from 1 species
AGAGUUUGAUCCUGGCUCAGGACGAACGCUGGCGGCGUGCCUAACACAUGCAAGUCGAACGGACUAACGUUUAGCACUGAGUGUUCAGUGAAGUUGGUUAAAGCGAGAGCUCGAACGUAGUGGAACGAAGAGAGAGCUCCACGCAUUAUAAAGUGCCAACACAGUUUAUUAGAAAGAACAUGAAGAACACUGAGUGCUAGACGCUAGUUAGUG